CGCCCCUUUUUCUCUCUCCUCACGAGAGUGCCUCUUUCUUCUUCUAGUGCGACCGACGGUGGAGCUUCCACCGUUCUUCCAUGACCAAAACCAGAGAGGGGAAGAGAGUUUUGUUUCUGCGUUUGGGUUUCCCACGCCGCCACGCCACCGACGGACCACGCCGCCAAGCCACCGACGGACCACGCCUUCAGCCGCCGUCGCCUCCUUCUCUGCUCUCCUCUAUCAAGCGUUCAUCUCCCCUCUCGUGAAACCCUAACCGAGGGUUUUGCCCGCCGUCGGCUUCGCCAACAUCACCGGCUUCUUCAUCAUCUCCGGCCUGGCAAUGGGGAUGGAGCCCAUCUACGGCCAGGUGUUUGGAGCCAAGAAGCAUUCCCUCCCGGAUUUCCUUCACCGCCACGGUGAGGUCGUCUUUCUAUUCCACUUCUACCGCACAGAGGGCGGCAAAGGUAGAGUCCGACUAGCAGAGAGCAACUUUGAGCCAUCCUUUUCAGAUUAGGGUUCGUCCGGCGCUUCAGGCCGCCGCUGCCUCUUCCUCAGUUCUCGACGUUUCUGUGCUGCCAUCCUGAGGAGGACAACCUCUCAAUCUCUGCUCUCGUUGAAACAGAGGUGCACCGGCAGACCCAGAGGAACGACAGAGGAGGUUUGCAGGGCUUCAAAAGCGGUUUUCGUCCUUUACUUAAGUUGCCUCUCUGCUACCAGCAUGAGAAAAUCUCAGCUUUGGUCAGACGGAAGAAUCCCGUCCUUUACCAUGAGGCUGUUGGGUCGGACUCUCAAUCGGCAUACGGUGAGCCAAGGCUUCACUAUGAUCAAGAUCGAAUUUCACUUAUUGGAAUUCGAUACGUAUGGCUCUGAUACCACUGUUGGAGAAACUUACGAUGCAGCAGAAGUUGAAAGUCGUCGCCUGUAAGAUCACCAGCGGCUUUAGUUCCAUGUAGAACUCAUCCCUAUAGUAAACAACACAAGAGGAAGAGGAGGAAGUUGAAGAGUAUGUCAGUUUUUGGGGUUUCCUUCUAAGGGGCUCCUCAUGUGUAAUCAACGAACUAUUACUUAGUCUCGCUGGAUAUAAAUAGCCAGCCCCUUAGGUUUUCCCCAAAUCCAGCAGCGGUUACAGUAAAUGAGAGAUUUUAGGUGAGCAUUAAAGCUCGUAACUGCAAGUGGGCCCCCUUGCAGUUACGAGAUGAAUGGGUAGGGCUCAUGGCCACUACCACUAUCCAACAGUCUCAACCAUCCAGCAAUCAAACCUGUCCACUAUUGAGAUAUGUACCCUGAACUUAUAUAGUAAAAUUUGGAUCCAUUGGUAAGGUCUAACCAGUUCUAUCAUUGAAUAGACUCCGAGAGAGUAUGACGUUGUUCAACAAGUCUUCGAGAUUCGAUAAAGAUCUGAUGCAUUGAGAUCCUGGUCAUAUUCUUGUAUGAUUUAAGAUAUUCAAAUCUGAAUCUAGAAAAUUGGAUCUCCCUUGUCAAGUCUCUACGGUCAGUAGCCAGUUAGGCGAAGACCCAUCUUCAUCACCUCAUGGUUUUGCAUGUUUACUGUAACAAACCCCAUACUGUCUAUGGGUUCAUCGUUUAGAUAAUCUCAAGUCACCCCAUAUGAACUUUGUCAUGGUUUUGCAUGUUUACUGUAACAAACCCCAUACUGUUUUUGGGUUCAUCGGUUAGACAAUCUCAAGUCACCCCAUAGGAACUUUGUUUUCUACUUUAGAAAGACAAGAAACUCCGAUAAUUAAUCAUUUAACCAAGUUACGGGCACGUGUGUGCACAACCCUCUGUGCAUUACAUCCGUCUCUUUGACUCACUUUUAUUGGGUCCCGAGUGCACUCUUUGAGUACAUGUCAUGCACAUGGACUUGCGCAUGUUUGCAUUGUGCACAGGCCUGUGCAUAUAACCAGCUAAUACAUCCUUUAUGUGCAUGAGAGACUUUAGGUAAAACUAGAUUCACCUUGAUAUUGACAUGAGGCUUCUAGUAGCAAAUCUUUACCCAUCUUCAAACAGCUUUGAUUCUUGUUCUAAAAAGGGUAAGAAGCACUAGAACUAACUAUUUCCCUCAAAUGUUUUCAAUAAACUUUAAUACAUGAUUAAACUUUUUCAUAAUGUCGUGGAAGCGUGGCACGCAUUCAAGGCAAAAGACAAGGAUGUCUAAAACAUAUCGUUAGGUUUGGAGGAAUGUUUCUGGCAGACGUUUUUCUUCAUGUUUGACUCAAUGUGUGGAACAAGAGAAGUUGAAUUUUAAGUAAAAUGCUUACUCCUGCCAAAAUCUUUUUAAAUAAUAAACGAAUUUAUUUGCAGAAAUAAAAACUCUAAGCACAACUGCAAAUUAGAAAUAAUAAUUUUCACCUUUCAUGUAGCUUGACUUUCAUUAAGAGUGAUCUGGAAAGAAAAUUGAGAAAAGAAAGACAAAAGCACCGCUCAACUUCUCACUUCCAAUAGAUCACCGCCUAGCUUUGAUAUGUCAGUUCUUUUCAAAAUACCAAAAAAUCACCCUCUCCCUCUCUCCUUCAUCCAGUGGCGUAGCCACAUUGUAGCUGGUGUGGGCAACUGCCCACACCAGCCUCUUAGAAGUUUUUUAUUUUUAAAUAAAAAUCUUAAAUAUUUAUUCUUAUAUAUAUAUCAGUGCCCCAUCAUAUUUGAGUUUGUUUAAACAAUUGCCCCUCCAGCCAAUUUUUCUGGCUCUGCCACUACCUUCAGCCUGCCUAACUCUUUCUGAGAAGGCUCAUAAUGCAAAAACACGGAAUUCUAUGAAGUCUAAUAUUCCAUAAACAUUCAAAUUCACUCAGGCCAUUUUUGAGUGCAUAGAAUUCCACUUAUGGAAGUGGAACUAAGACUCAAAAAUUUAGGAAAAUAGCAUGGCAACGCAAAAAUGGAACAUUAAUCCGAAGUGUUUUUGCUAAGUCCUAAUAUCUUUGUUUUAGCAUUAAAGUUUCAUCUAAACAGGUUAAAGUUUUUGAGAAAAAGAAAGAAACGUGGCUGUUAGAGUUCCACCUAAAUAGGUUUGACAAACGUUUCUAAGCCAUCAUACAAGAUGUGGUAAAUGUCUAUCAUUUUAUUACCGCUCAUUCAAACAUGGCCACAUAAACCACUGUAUUCCAAAGAAUAUGCUUGCAUGAUUGGUUGAAGAAAUCAACCUUCACAUUUUCUUGUUCCUCAAAUUGAUGUCUUCCAUCAUAAUAUUGCAUUCCUUUUUUCUGUUCAACAAUGUUUCAUCUUAAUCCACAUAAUCAUCGUCCUUUCCUAAUUUUCGUUUAGUUAACACUGCUUUUCAAGCAAUGGUACUCCCGUUGAUCAACAUGUUGUCAGGUAGAUUCCUAAGCUGAAGCCUUUUUUCUGUUUUUCACUCUCAAUUACUGCAUUGUAUUAGAUAAAUGUAUUAACCAGUUACAGUAGAAAGCUAUGUCUUGUGCACCCAGGGACUAUUGAUCAUUAUAUCUUUCACCAUUAGUCUUGCCAGUGAAAAGGGAAGCCAUCAGAUCAAGUCUUUCUUUUUUUGUUUUUUGAUAAUUUUUUUGCCUAUUGAGGUAUUCCCCUGAUUCCUUUGUAGCAAAUUAUAUUUCUUAUCUUGUUUGUAAUCACCAGUUUAAUAAUUCUGGGACAAAGACCUCUAGCCACCUCGCAAAGGAAUUGGUCCCUUCAAGUUGAAUUGAAGGAGGUCAAAGUUGUUGUAUGGUUGGUAUCGAAACAAAUAAAAGUGAGUUUGUCUA